UUUGUUAGUUUCGACUUAGUUGCUGGACUAUGAAUACCCGCCGACGUUGCUUUCAUCUAGUUUGCAAUUUUCUAACACAAAAAGAAGACGAAAGAGAGACGAUAAUCAUUAAAAGCAAACGAAAGAUUAUAAGUCAUCGUCGAGAUGGAUCUUUCAGCCAAAAUAAGUGCUGAUUCAAGAGAUGGACGAAGAUCCGGAUCUGGCAAGAGGAGUAACAGUGUUUGGAUCUGACAGAGCAAGGGUUCAAAAGCGAUGAGACGGGAUAAUGGAAGAAGACUUGGGCUGACCUAAAAAGCCGCACAAAAAGAGGAUUGCGAACUAUAUUUGUAAUAUAAAAUAUGACAGAUGGGGUCCCUUUCGGCAUUCAAGAGGCUAACCCUAUUCGGUAUCAUCCCAACGGUCGUUUACGCGCUACACGCCACUCCAGAACCCACUAAUUCCACCAGUAACUAAACAAAAAAUCUCCCAAAUGAAUGGCAAAAAUGGUAAAUAACAUUUGACGGUGAUGCCCAUUUUCU